CCCCUUUCAGGGUCACACCUGUAGAGUCUCCAGUACUCUACCAGUCUUGAUUAUGGGAGGGAGAGUCAAGCAGAGGCCUACCCUUUUCAUUCCUAGCUUGGAAAGCAGCUAGUGAAUGAAAGACAAUCUGCUACAAGU